rnacentral:lncRNA from 1 species
UCAAAGUUCAGGUUUUUAUGACUACUGUAACUUUUAAGUAUCAAUUUUUUUCCAGUGUGUGUGUUUGUGAUUUGUGUUUGUUCUUCUUAUACCUUUUAACUAUCAAUUUUUUCCAGUGUGUGCGUUUGUGAUUUGUUUUUUUGUUUCAUCGCCUUACAUUUAUGGUUAGGAAAUUUUACUAUUUACAUUGAGGGUGCAGUGAUUUAGGGAAUUGAGUAAGUAUAUCCGAAAAGUGUUAUUGUUCCUGCUAAAUGAGGCUGAUAUAGCAUACAUGAUUGCCCUGGUUGUUACUGGAAUUUUCCUUUAAACCUUGAAUUUUAAGUAGGUUUGUUGCGAGGGUUUUUGAAAACCGGAGUAGGACAAAGUAUAUUACUAAACUAAUGAAUGUACAUUGGUAUUAUCCAGUCAGAUUAGCUUUCCGUUGGUGGAGAUUUCUUUCAGGGAAAAUGUAUAGCAUGUUGAAGUUGUAGGUACAGAAACUUUUUGACAGUUGAGCAUUUGCUUCUUCGUGAAAAAAAUCAGUUUGAGUGGUAACAAAGUUCACGAAACUUUUCCUGACCUGAAUCAUGUAUAGGACUCGGAUUUGAAGUGUUAUUACUUAUUUUGGUUUGUACUUAUAGGGCUGUAUUGUGGGCUGGGCCCGGGCCUAAACAGGCCAAACGGUCCCGGGCCAAAUGGUCACGGUCUUCACAGUUUCAAUGGGUGGAACCAGCCCACGGUGGUCCUAAGCCCAUAUGGUCCCGGGCUAAAUGGGCCGGGCCCAUGGGUCUAAACGAGUCUAAUGGGCUUUUUUCGUUCUGGGCUAUUUUUUAUUUUUUUUAAAAUCUAAGGCAAUUUCUUGUAAACUAUAUAUGUAUAUACUAAUAUAAAUUGCUUAUAGAUAGCUAUAU